ACCAGAAUAAACUAUUAAAUAAAAGAAGUAGGUUGCCAAAAAUUUGGCUCAAUUCGAGUUUUCUAACAUAUGGAAAAAGGGAAACGAAAUAUUACCAUAAAUAGCAAAAAAUAACUUAAAAUUGAAUAUUGGAAAGGAAAACAGCGGAUCUUGGGCAAAUUGAUGCCCAACCUCGGUAGUCACGACGUGCGCGCCGAAGAGAGCUUUCCGGAUUGGGGUCAUAAUAGCGAUUCCGAUAACCGUAGCCAAAGUUAUGGCCAAAUUACCAAAGACGCAUCAAAUUCCCCCAAUUAAGGAAAUAAUUGCGAUUCACAUUCCAUCUUUGCCCCGAUCUGCCAUCUCAUGGUAUCUCAGCACCAUCAUCGUGCUAUCUGACAAAUCAGCAUCACUUGACCUGGAUCCUCCUGCAUCACAAAUCAAAGCCCUUUUUAUGCGUCAAUUAUCACAAGGUAAGUUUAAAGUUCGCUGAAACAUGAGCUCAAUAUGUAAUUACAGCACAAUUGUUCAAAAUGAAAAUUAAUCAGUACCACAAACUUGGUACAGUUAAAAUAAAAGAAAAGGAAAAAAGUUAAAAUUAAUUAAAAAAAAAUGAAAAGAAAAGAGAGGUAACAUUUCAACUACAACACCAGAACAUCAUAUAACACAACUAAAUGACUGCAACAUCUAAUCUUGAGUGUGAGUUUAGAGUUAAGACGUAUGCAUGGCAUAAAUAGGACACAAGGAAAAAUAUUAGCACUGCAUAACAGCAUAAGUUUAGAUCUUAAGAUAAAAGGAAAGAAAAAGAUCUAAUAGUGGGAGAGGGGAAAUAGAAGAAAACACAGUAAAACUUAGGCCAUCAGAUGAGAUAUAUCAUCAAUCAAUUUCACUCGAAAACUAUUUUUUCUCUUCGAUUAUCCCUAAAUGGCAUGAAAUUACAUUUUUGAAAUGAAAAUUUUUCCACAAAACAAAACAAACCCUACAACAUAUGAAAAUGGAUAUUAAAAACAAAGUCAACAAA
rnacentral:lncRNA from 1 species